AAGUAGGGGGCGGUCCCUUCACUGGCCCCGGCCGGUGUCGCGUGGCCCCCCCGCCUGGAGAAAUCCAGUUACCCCUGUAUCCUGAGUACCCUCUCGUUUCCUCGGCAGGCCCGCCUGCCAGCGAGGACACCAACCAAAACCUUUGCAACAAGCAGUAUUCGUCAGUAUAAACAAAAAUUUAUCACAACUUUCAACAAUGGAUCUCUUGGCUCUGGCAUCGAUGAAGAACGCAGCGAAAUGCGAUAAGUAGUGUGAAUUGCAGAAUUCCGUGAAUCAUCGAAUCUUUGAACGCACAUUGCGCCCUGGGGUAUUCUCCAGGGCAUGCCUGUUCGAGCGUCAUUUACACCCUCAAGCUCUGCUUGGUGUUGGGCGUCUGUCCCCGCGAAAGCGCGGACUCGCCUCAAAGCGAUUGGCGGCCGGUACCGUAGCCCGGAGUGCAGCAGAAUUGCACCCGAGCCCUCGCGUGCCUCCCCCCAGAAGCGAACCUUUCUUUAGUUUGACCUCGAAUCAGGUAGGGAUACCCGCUGAACUUAAGCAUAUCAAUAAGCGGAGGAAAAGAAACCAACAGGGAUUGCCUCAGUAACGGCGAGUGAAGCGGCAACAGCUCAAAUUUGAAAUCUGGCUCCUUUGGGGUCCGAGUUGUAAUUUGCAGAGGGUGCUUUGGUGUUGGCUGUGGUCCAAGUUCCCUGGAACAGGACGUCACAGAGGGUGAGAACCCCGUACGUGGCCGCCAGCCUUCGCCGUGUAAAGCCCCUUCGAAGAGUCGAGUUGUUUGGGAAUGCAGCUCUAAAUGGGAGGUAAAUUCCUUCUAAAGCUAAAUAUUGGCCAGAGACCGAUAGCGCACAAGUAGAGUGAUCGAAAGAUGAAAAGCACUUUGGAAAGAGAGUGAAAUAGCACGUGAAAUUGUUGAAAGGGAAGCGCUUGGAGCCAGACGUGCCCGUAGUUGCUCAGCCGGGGUUCUCCCCGGUGCACUCUUCUGCGGGCAGGCCAGCAUCAGUUCCGGCGGUCGGAUAAAAGCCUGCUAAACGUACCUCCCCCCGGGGAGGACUUAUAGGGUAGGUGGCAUACGACCAGCUGGGACUGAGGACCGCGCAUCUG
rnacentral:rRNA from 1 species